CCUACGGGAGGCUGCAGUGGGGAAUAUUGGACAAUGGGGGGAACCCUGAUCCAGCCAUGCCGCGUGUGUGAAGAAGGCCCUCGGGUUGUAAAGCACUUUCAGUGAGGAAGAACGCCUGGUGGUUAAUACCCAUCAGGAAAGACAUCACUCACAGAAGAAGCACCGGCUAACUCCGUGCCAGCAGCCGCGGUAAUACGGAGGGUGCGAGCGUUAAUCGGAAUUACUGGGCGUAAAGCGCGCGUAGGUGGCUUGAUAAGCCGGUUGUGAAAGCCCCGGGCUCAACCUGGGAACGGCAUCCGGAACUGUCAAGCUAGAGUGGAGGAGAGGAAGGUAGAAUUCCCGGUGUAGCGGUGAAAUGCGUAGAGAUCGGGAGGAAUACCAGUGGCGAAGGCGGCCUUCUGGACUGACACCGACACUGAGGUGCGAAAGCGUGGGUAGCAAACAGGAUUAGAUACCCGAGUGUC
rnacentral:rRNA from 1 species